GUAAGGACCGUUCUCCUAUGAUGUAGUCGACCCUAUCAGAAAACAUUUACUCACUUUUUGCUUUUAUACAAAAAACAUGCCAUUUCUCCAUUUUGGUGAAAAGUGGGCCAUUAGCUAAACCACAACCUUCCUGUCCAAAGACCUUCAUGAACUAAUGAAACUAUAUCUGACAGUUUGGGGAGGAAUUCAUUCUAACGGGUGAAAAUGAACCAGGUCUUUUCUGUGUAUGUGCCGGUCUUUAAGCAUAAAUGUAAAUAUAUAAAAUAUACUAAUAAUGCAUCCAGUCUCUGGUUAUUGGUGAUACUUCCCAUUCUGCACAAUUGUGACCUUUGACCCCUUGCACGUGGUCUUAAAUGUCCACAUUCUGGAUGACAUCCUGCCAGACUUUGUUGGUAUUUCACUGUUUGAUCUAGCAUGUGACUGUUUUUCCCCCCCAGCACUUGUCCCAUGUUAGCUGGCCCACUAUGCAGUUAAAUGGAAAGGUUUCUCCCCAGCACUUGUCCCAUGUUGGCUGGCCUACUAUGCAGUUAAAUGGAAAGGUUUUUCCCCAGCACUUGUCCCAUGUUGGCUGGCCCACUAUGCAGUUAAAUGGAAAGGUUUUUCCCCAGCACUUGUCCCAUGUUGGCUGGCCCACUAUGCAGUUAAAUGGAAAGGUUCUACAGAUGUAGACGUGUGAAUUGGGAUGAGGGGAAAUGACAAUCAAUGACAACUGAAAUAGCAAAC
rnacentral:lncRNA from 1 species